UGCAGAAGAGAAAACUCCUCUCCAACCACCAAAGAUGACCGCAGAUCAGGGUGUAACUGAGCAGAAAGUGCAAACAGCAGAGAAAGAGAAAAAUACAGUUCCAGCAGGUAAACCUGAGCAAAAAGUGCAAACAGCAGAGAAAGGCACAAAUACAGUUCCAGCAGCAAUUAAUAACUCAUCAACCAUGACAGAUGCUCAGAUUGUUAAAAUACCAG